rnacentral:sRNA from 1 species
UUCCCUCAGCCAGUCUGGUUCUGAUGGC